UCUUUCUUUGUUUUCUUCCGAGGGCAAGGAUUGACAUUCUCACCCUGGAUUGAGGCUUAUGGUAAUUGGGAUUUUGGGCUCAAGGCUUGUAGAACGGCUGGACAUGAUAAAUAUCAGGGUGUGGGUUUGGCCAGCGGUCCAGGGAUAAAAGGGAUGUCCCACAUUAUUUCCAUGAUACACAUGCAACAAUGAUGAUUAGGAAAUUUUAUGCAAAACUGGUCAUGCAUGCAUCUACGUGGACACUCAAG
rnacentral:lncRNA from 1 species